UAAAUAAGUAAAGAAACAUAAGAAACAGAAUAGAAGAAACGAAACAGAGAAGAAACGAAACAGAGAAGAAACAGGGGAGAAAGAAAGAAAGAAAAGAAAAAGGGAAAAUUGAAGGUUUGAAGGUUUGAAGCUUUAAGCUUUAAUAGUCAAUGUGGUACCGGAAAUCUCGGCUAAGAAAGGACAAGACAAAGUCAACGGGAGUUAGCUCAAAAAAUUACGGUUGAGUAAAGAUAGUACGUUGAAACAGUAUCCCAAGACGAUCCCGAAUUCAUUAAGGUAAAGUA